AUUGAACGCUGGCGGCAUGCCUUACACAUGCAAGUCGAACGGCAGCACGGGAGCAAUCCUGGUGGCGAGUGGCGAACGGGUGAGUAAUAUAUCGGAACGUGCCCAGUCGUGGGGGAUAACGCAGCGAAAGCUGUGCUAAUACCGCAUACGAUCUAUGGAUGAAAGCGGGGGAUCGCAAGACCUCGCGCGAUUGGAGCGGCCGAUAUCAGAUUAGCUAGUUGGUGAGGUAAAGGCUCACCAAGGCGACGAACUGAAGCUGGUCUGAGCGGACGACCAGCCACACUGGAACUGAGACACGGUCCAGACUCCUACGGGAGGCAGCAGUGGGGAAUUUUGGACAAUGGGCGAAAGCCUGAUCCAGCAAUGCCGCGUGCAGGAUGAAGGCCUUCGGGUUGUAAACUGCUUUUGUACGGAACGAAACGGUGAGCUCUAAUACAGUUUGCUAAUGACGGUACCGUAAGAAUAAGCACCGGCUAACUACGUGCCAGCCGCCGCCGUAAAAC
rnacentral:rRNA from 1 species